rnacentral:rRNA from 1 species
CCAUGGGCGAAAGCCUGAUGGAGCGACGCCGCGUGGAGGAUGACGGUCUUAAGAUCGUAAACUCCUUUUCUGGAGGAAGAAUUUCUGACGGUACUCUCAUGAAUAAGCACCGGCUAACUCCGUGCCAGCAGCCGCGGUAAUACAGAGGGUGCAAGCGUUACCCGGAAUCAUUGGGCGUAAAGCGUCCGCAGGCGGUUAAUUAAGUCCUAUGUUAAAUCCUGGAAGCCCAACUUCCAGAUGCUGUGUUUGAAACUGAUUAUCUAGAGUCUUUCACAGGUAUGCGGAAUUCUGUGU